GAUGAACGCUGGCGGCGUGCUUAACACAUGCAAGUCGAACGAUGAAGCCCAGCUUGCUGGGUGGAUUAGUGGCGAACGGGUGAGUAACACGUGAGUAACCUGCCCUUGACUCUGGGAUAAGCCCGGGAAACUGGGUCUAAUACCGGAUAGGAGCGCCUGUCGCAUGACGGGUGUUGGAAAGAUUUUUCGGUCAUGGAUGGACUCGCGGCCUAUCAGCUUGUUGGUGAGGUAAUGGCUCACCAAGGCGACGACGGGUAGCCGGCCUGAGAGGGUGACCGGCCACACUGGGACUGAGACACGGCCCAGACUCCUACGGGAGGCAGCAGUGGGGAAUAUUGCACAAUGGGCGGAAGCCUGAUGCAGCGACGCCGCGUGAGGGAUGACGGGCCUUCGGGUUGUAAACCUUCUUCCAGUAAGGGAAGAAAGCGAAAAGUGACGGACCUGCAG
rnacentral:rRNA from 1 species